GGCGACGUGGCCAAGUGGCUAAGGCGAAGGAUUGCAAAUCCUUUAUUCGUGGGUUCGAAUCCCACCGUCGCCUC
rnacentral:tRNA from 10 species